AAAGCGCACGUAGGCGGACUGGAAAGUCAGAGGUGAAAUCCCAGGGCUCAACCUUGGAACUGCCUUUGAAACUCCCAGUCUUGAGGUCGAGAGAGGUGAGUGGAAUUCCGAGUGUAGAGGUGAAAUUCGUAGAUAUUCGGAGGAACACCAGUGGCGAAGGCGGCUCACUGGCUCGAUACUGACGCUGAGGUGCGAAAGCGUGGGGAGCAAACAGGAUUAGAUACCCGUGU
rnacentral:rRNA from 1 species